GAGAGAAUUAAAAUAACAUGGUUGUGUUUGGUUCCCGGAAUUUGGAUUCCGGGAAAGCAGAGGGCACUAUUGGCAGAGAUAAGAAAGGAGAACAGAGCGCGCAAUCAAAAGACUAAAAAAGGGAGAAAAAGAGUAAAAUAGAAAAAAAAUCUCAGCGAAGAUAAUUACUUGACACAUUUGUCUGAACUAAAAUGGAUUCCAUUUUAAAUUUAAGGAAACCGUAUUCUAUCAUAUCAGCCUACAUCAGAAUUUGUUU
rnacentral:lncRNA from 1 species